GGUAGCACAGAGAGCUUGCUCUCGGGUGACGAGUGGCGGACGGGUGAGUAAUGUCUGGGAAACUGCCUGAUGGAGGGGGAUAACUACUGGAAACGGUAGCUAAUACCGCAUAACGUCGCAAGACCAAAGAGGGGGACCUUCGGGCCUCUUGCCAUCAGAUGUGCCCAGAUGGGAUUAGCUAGUAGGUGGGGUAACGGCUCACCUAGGCGACGAUCCCUAGCUGGUCUGAGAGGAUGACCAGCCACACUGGAACUGAGACACGGUCCAGACUCCUACGGGAGGCAGCAGUGGGGAAUAUUGCACAAUGGGCGCAAGCCUGAUGCAGCCAUGCCGCGUGUAUGAAGAAGGCCUUCGGGUUGUAAAGUACUUUCAGCGGGGAGGAAGGUGUUGUGGUUAAUAACCUCGGCAAUUGACGUUACCCGCAGAAGAAGCACCGGCUAACUCCGUGCCAGCAGCCGCGGUAAUACGGAGGGUGCAAGCGUUAAUCGGAAUUACUGGGCGUAAAGCGCACGCAGGCGGUCUGUCAAGUCGGAUGUGAAAUCCCCGGGCUCAACCUGGGAACUGCAUUCGAAACUGGCAGGCUAGAGUCUUGUAGAGGGGGGUAGAAUUCCAGGUGUAGCGGUGAAAUGCGUAGAGAUCUGGAGGAAUACCGGUGGCGAAGGCGGCCCCC
rnacentral:rRNA from 1 species